AGCGAACGUUAGCGGCGGGCUUAACACAUGCAAGUCGAGCGAGAAAGGGGCUUCGGCCCUGAGUACAGCGGCGGACGGGUGAAUAACACGUAGGUAACCUUCCUUCCAGCGGGGGACAACGGUCCGAAAGGACCGCUAAUACCGCAUACGUUCCCUGGGACCCUGGUCCCGGGGAGGAAAGCUCCGCAAGGGGCACUGGAUGAGGGGCCUGCGUAGCAUCAGCUAGUUGGUGGGGUAAUGGCCUACCAAGGCUAAGACGCUUAGCUGGUCUGAGAGGAUGAUCAGCCACACUGGGACUGAGACACGGCCCAGACUCCUACGGGAGGCAGCAGUGGGGAAUAUUGGACAAUGGGCGCAAGCCUGAUCCAGCCACGCCGCGUGAGUGAUGAA
rnacentral:rRNA from 1 species